rnacentral:snRNA from 1 species
GGAUGUGAGGGCGGUCUGGCUGCGACAUCUGUUACCCCAUUGAUCGCCAGGGUUGAUGCAGCUGAUCUGGCUGGCUUGGCUGGUAUCUUCCUCCUCCUUCACCACUCCGUGUAUGCCCCUCCAGACGCCACACACCAAAUAGAGGAGACCUGGUCAUCGGUCAAGUGUAUUGGAGUAGCUGUGCUCCCUACUAGAGCCACUAAAUAAACUCNUAAGGUCCAAAGCAUGCAACAAAAGCCUGGACCUUCAUUCCCUCCACUGACAGCCUCACUUGU